rnacentral:rRNA from 1 species
CUACGGGACGCUGCAGUGAGGGAUUUUGCGCAAUGGGGGGAACCCUGACGCAGCAACGCCGCGUGAGUGAAGAAGGCCCUUGGGCCGUAAAGCUCUGUCAACAGGGAAGAAGUUAUGGAUCUUUAAUAGAGAUUUGUAUUGACGGUACCUGUGAAGGAAGCACCGGCUAACUCCGUGCCAGCAGCCGCGGUAAUACGGGGGGUGCAAGCGUUAUUCGGAAUUAUUGGGCGUAAAGGGCGCGCAGGCGGCCUUGUCAGUCAGAUGUGAAAGGCCAGGGCUCAACCCUGGAAGUGCAUUUGAAACAGCAAGGCUUGAGUACGGUAGAGGAAAGGGGAAUUCCUGGUGUAGAGGUGAAAUUCGUAGAUAUCAGGAGGAACACCGGUGGCGAAGGCGCCUUUCUGGACCUGUACUGACGCUGAGGCGCGAAGGCGUGGGUAGCGAACAGGAUUAGAUACCCGCGUAGUC